CCUACGGGGGGCUGCAGUGAGGAAUAUUGGUCAAUGGCCGGAAGGCUGAACCAGCCAUGCCGCGUGAAGGUCAGUGCCCUAUGGGCGUUAAACUUCUUUUGUGCGGGAGCAAUAAUGGUCACGUGUGGCCAGACGAGAGUACCGUACGAAUAAGCAUCGGCUAACUCCGUUCCAGCAGCCGCGGUAAUACGGGGGAUGCAAGCGUUAUCCGGAUUUAUUGGGUUUAAAGGGUGCGUAGGCUGUGAGGUAAGUCAGCGGUGAAAUGCCCCCGCUCAACGGGGUGAAGUGCCAUUGAUACUGCCUUGCUGGAAGGCGGAUGCGGUGGGAGGAAUGUGUGGUGUAGCGGUGAAAGGCAUAGAUAUCACACAGAACACCGAUUGCGAAGGCAUCUCACGAAUCCGCGAUUGACGCUGAUGCACGAAAGCGUGGGUAUCAAACAGGAUUAGAUACCCCUGUAGUC
rnacentral:rRNA from 1 species